GACGAACGCUGGCGGCGUGCUUAACACAUGCAAGUCGAACGGAAAGGCCCUGCUUUUGUGGGGUGCUCGCGUGGCGAACGGGUGAGUAACACGUGAGUAACCUGCCCUUGACUUUGGGAUAACUUCAGGAAACUGGGGCUAAUACCGGCUAGGAGCUCCUGCUGCAUGGGGGGGGUUGGACAGUUUGGGCUGUUGGGGAUGGACUGGGGGCUUAUGAGCUUGUUGGUGGGGUAGUUGCUUACCCAGGGUUUGACGGGUAGCCGGCCUGGGAGGGUGGACAGGGACCAGAGGACUGAGGGACGGCGCAGACGCGAACGGGGGACAACAGGGGGGAGUAUUGCACAGUGGGCCGAAGUCUGAUGCAGAAACGCCGCGUGCGGGAUGACGGCCUUCGGGGUGUAAACCGCUUUCGCCUGUGACGAAGCGGGAGUGACGGUAAUGGGUAAAGAAGCACCGGCUAACUACGUG
rnacentral:rRNA from 1 species